UCAAUUGCACAAUAAAAUUAAACAGAUGAAACUAUCCCUGGAAGACUAAUUAAAUUUCGUCUGUUUGAGAUUCAUAAAAAAUACAUUUUAAGGUAUAAAAACUGGCAAAGUAAAAGAUAUUUCAAUACAGAUAAAUUACAUCUCGUGUAAAACAUGCUUCAACAAAUUCCUCAUUAUUCACAUUACAUUACUUCCUGAAACACGUGAUCUCCUAAUUACUUUCAGCAACACGUCCUUCCGUCCACAUCUUCAAUCCUUCAUCAGAAUCCAUCUCUUCAAAAACAUCCAUUUACAAGGAUACAAGCGUUCAUUAAGAAUCUUCUUUAAACAAUCCCACCUGCGAUCUACGAUUAAGUUACAAGGAUAAAGGUGUGCAGAGGGUGAAGUCGCAAAUGAAAUUCCGACGAAUGGAAUCCGCCAGAAAUCUUAACGAUCCUCGCUAUCUCUUUCGGACAGCGUGGCACAGUGACUGGAAAGCGUGGUGGCUCAAGGAAGGGAGUGCAAUUUAAAUCUGUGCCCACCCGCGACGCCAUCCUCUAUCAAGCGGGGAACGAGACGUUUAAAAUGCCUCUGUGUCCGAUUAAAUCUUAACAACCUAA